rnacentral:rRNA from 1 species
UACGUAGGGGGCUAGCGUUGUCCGGAAUCAUUGGGCGUAAAGCGCGUGUAGGCGGCCCGGUAAGUCCGCUGUGAAAGUCCAGGGCUCAACCCUGGGAUGCCGGUGGAUACUGUCGGGCUCGAGUCCGGAAGAGGCGAGUGGAAUUCCUGGUGUAGCGGUGAAAUGCGCAGAUAUCAGGAGGAACACCAAUGGCGAAGGCAGCUCGCUGGGACGUGACUGACGCUGAGACGCGAAAGCGUGGGGAGCAAACAGGAU